AAGCGGAUAUUAGAAACAGCCAGAUCACAAUCCACAAAAACGCAUUACACCACAGACAUUUCCCUGGAGCGGAUAUGGGAGUAUCAAUCGAUUCUGCAAAUUCCCGAGGUUCAGUCAUGUUUAACUAUGGGCUUAGCGUAUAGUUCAGUGUGAAAUGAAAAAAUACAAUCGAAUACGCUAGAAAGGUCGUCUAUAGUUUAAAAGCUGUAUUGCAGAUGAACUUUGUUCAACUGGCAUAUAAAACAAACACUCCAAAACUUGGCGUAGUCGGCAGGAUCAAUCAUGUUGAUUCACAGCUACAGUGUUUACACUGUUCUUUCAGUAUAAAUUGAACAAAACUGUGUUGAGUCUGGUUUACUUUGUUCUAAAAGCACGUGUCUCAUGUAUUAUCUCAAAAUGGGUUAAUGAGCAGAAACGAAAGAGAAACAAGGAAGUAUUUUGUGUAUAACUGAUAUGCUCAGCAUGACUCAGAACUGUAUCUACAGCAACCAUAAAACAAUAAAAUAACUGACAAUAAACAAUAAUCUAAAUGACAGGUGUAAAAUUCAACACAUCUACGUUUUGGCAUUAAAACUUAUGUUAUUUUCAUUUACGUUUUGCGAAGCACAGAAAGAUAUCUGUUGUGGGCCAUGAGGUCCUUUGGUUCAUGACGUUUUUCGAGCACAUGUUGUAGAUGUAUGACCCCACGUGAAAACAUUGAGCAACUUUAUGGAGUAAACUUUUCUACCCAGAAUAUCUGACGUAGAUCACGAGGGAAGGAACUCGAUCAUUUAUGAGAUAAACACGUUUGGUUGUUGUAUUUAGAAGAUGUUUUUUUUUUUAACCACAACAACACCCCCUUGAUCAUUUUAAGAAUAACAAAGUAUUGGUAAAAUAAAUAUUAUUAAAAACAUAAUCUAGGUAAAAUUAGCAUUUUAGGGAGCGUAGAAAAAGUAACGUUAAAAGAAGAAAACGUAAACAAAUAAAUAUGACGCUGUAGGGCCUUCAAAAUACGUGCAACAGAGCACAGUGACAAUAAUUACAAAAGCAUCAAUAUUGUAUGCACUUGUUAAAUAAACAAUCGCAAACGUAUAACAAUAUUACGUCGCUUCGUUGUUUGUUUACACGAGUCCUUUGAAAUAACCUUAAACGAAGCGUCCCAUCCCCCAAUCCUGCAGCGUUGCGUUUUCACAAACAUCUGCCCGCAAACAAAGAAAAAGCACCAAACAUUGUCGUUUUGAAAUCCAGACUCCAGGAGCUCAUAAUGUGGUAUUACCUGAAGCGUACCUGCCCUUUCCAUGGAGGAGACUCCGCACACCCUGUAGAAUGUCGCUGGUAUCUGAAGGCUACUGUGGUAACCUCGUGUCCGGUCGGAUGAGACUCAAAAUGAAAGAAGGAGGCAGACAUCUUGAAUGACAUGAGGGCCCUGAGCUGAUUAGCUGGCUGACUUACAACCGAGGUGACUUCCCCUUUCCUGCUUUCUCUCUACGUCUUUCUAUCAUGGAGGGAAGAAACGCUACAGAGAUGCAUGAAGCCAUCUCUCUGAUUUUCUCCGAGUGCUGUUGGGUGGGGUUGAGAAAGCCUGUGAGAGGAUGGCAAACUGUGCUUGUGGUUCUACGGCACCGUUCUGCUGUUACAGUACAAGCAGAAACGCUCCUCCCUGAUAUUCUAAUAACAGCUAUAUUUUGAGUCACUGACAAAUAGGAACUGUCACUAGAAAAGAGUUGUUUCUUCUAUAAAUGAUUCAUGAUGAGUUGAAUAAGCCUGGUUCAAUAUAAAUUUAAGAUUAAUUUGUAUGCCUUUAUUGGAAUGUGACUCAAUAUGUCGUAAAUUCUGUAAUCAUUUUCUGUCUCAUCUUAAUGAACUGGAUUAUUUCUGUACUAAAGGUGUCAUAAUAUACACAUUUUGAAAAUACAUUUGAUAUUAAUUACUGUGAUUAUGGACAUUGUGUUAACACUUCACAUUAUAAUAUCAUAAUAA